AGAGUUUGAUCAUGGCUCAGGACGAACGCUGGCGGCGUGCCUAAUACAUGCAAGUAGAACGCACAGUUUAUACCGUAGCUUGCUACACCAUAGACUGUGAGUUGCGAACGGGUGAGUAACGCGUAGGUAACCUGCCUGGUAGCGGGGGAUAACUAUUGGAAACGAUAGCUAAUACCGCAUAAUAUUAAUUAUUGCAUGAUAAUUAAUUGAAAGGUGCAAUUGCACCACUACCAGAUGGACCUGCGUUGUAUUAGCUAGUAGGUGAGGUAACGGCUCACCUAGGCGACGAUACAUAGCCGACCUGAGAGGGUGAUCGGCCACACUGGGACUGAGACACGGCCCAGACUCCUACGGGAGGCAGCAGUAGGGAAUCUUCGGCAAUGGACGAAAGUCUGACCGAGCAACGCCGCGUGAGUGAAGAAGGUUUUCGGAUCGUAAAGCUCUGUUGUAAGAGAAGAACGGGUGUGAGAGUGGAAAGUUCACACUGUGACGGUAUCUUACCAGAAAGGGACGGCUAACUACGUGCCAGCAGCCGCGGUAAUUC
rnacentral:rRNA from 1 species